CCCCCCCCCCCCCCCCCCCCCCCCCCCCCCCCCCCCCCCCCCCCCCCCCCCCCCCCCCCUUCAGGUUUGUCAUGGCUGUGAACUCCUGGGUGAGUUUUUGGGGUUGGGGUUGAGUUUUGGGGGUUUAGUUUUGGGUUUGGGGUUCAGGUUUGGUUUUAUGGGUUUAGUUUUAAGUUUUGGGUUGAGUUUUGGGGUUUGGUUUUAUGGGUUUAGUUUUGGAUUUGGGUUUUACUGGUUUAGUUUUUGGUUUGGGAUUCAGGUUUGGUUUUAUGGGUUUAGUUUUGGGGUUUGGGUUGAGAUUUGGGGUUUGGUUUUGUGAGUUUGGUUCUGGUUUUAUGGGUUUAGUUUUGGGAUUUGAGUUGAGUUUUGGAGUCAAGUUUUGUGGGUAUAGUUUUGGUUUUAUGGGUUUAGUUUUGGAUUUGGGUUUUGGAUUUUGUGAGUUUAGUUUGGGGUUUGGGAUUCAGUUUUGGUUUUAUGGGUUCAGUUGUGGAUUGGGGGUUUGGAUUUUGUGAGUUUAGUUUUGGGUUUGGGAUUCAUGUUUGGUUUUAUGGGUUUAGUUUUUAGUUUUGGGGUUUGGGUUGAGAUUUGGGCUUUGGUUUUCUGAGCUUAGUUCUGGUUUUAUGGGUUUAGUUUUGGGAUUUGAGUUGAGUUUUGGAGUCAAGUUUUGUGGGUAUAGUUUUGGUUUUAUGGGUUUAGUUUUGGAUUUGGGUUUUGGAUUUUGUGAGUUUAGUUUGGGGUUUGGGAUUCAGGUUUGGUUUUAUGGGUUUAGUUUUGGGGUUUGGGGUUUGGUUUUGUAAGUUCAGUUUUGGUUUUAUGGGUUUAGUUUUGGGUUUUGAGUUGGGUUUCAGAGUCAGGAUUUGUGGGUUUAGUUUUGGGUUGUGGGUUUAGUUUGGGUUUGUUGGUUUGGGGUUUUGUUUUGUGGGUUGAGUUUUGUGGGGUUAGCUUUGCUUUUGGGGUUAAGAUUUGGUUUCGUGUGUUUAAUUUGGGAUUUUCUGGGUUUCAUUCGGGUUUGGGGUUGAUUUUUUUGGGAUUCUCCUUCCUUUGCACCCUCAAAUUCCAUUUCCAAUGUGCUGCUUUGGGUUGAAAACAAAAAAUUCUGCUUUAAACUCGCUUUUAAUCCUCCCCAAUAUUUUGUGGAUUUGUAUAUUUGUAAACAGUGCCAAAAUAAAGAUAUUUGAACUUUUCUUUUGGGGUUUUGAGGUUUUUUUGGGGGGUUUGAGGUUUUUUUGAGCUUUCUUGGGGUGGGUUGAGCUUUUUUGGGGGGAUUUUGACCUUUUUUUGGAGUUUUUUUGGGAAAUCCCUGGAGCUGGAAAAUCCCUGGAGCUGCGGCCACUGGGGGGGAGUAGAAGGCAAGGAGAGGGAGCCGAGCUUUUCCAAGAAUUCCUGGGAAAUCCUGCAGAAUCCCUGGAAAAAACGAACAGAAUUUUUCAAUAAUUCCUGGGAACAGGUGAAUCCUCUGGAAUUGC
rnacentral:lncRNA from 12 species